GACCUGGUGGAGUGAGAGGGGGAGCGACGGCGUGUAUCGAUGGCGGCGUCAGCUGAGCGCACCGCUCACAGCUGGGCGCGAGCGACGCUGUCGCCGAACAGCUGAUCGCGUCGUCGCGCUGUCAGAACAUGGCGAGCCAGCGCGUAUUGCGGAUCGCCGCGGCUGCGACAAGCACGUCCCGUCCAUUUUCAGCCCGCGCUGAUCACGGACCCAUGCGAUCAUGCUCCCCAGGGCCGCACGGGUGACGAGGAUACGUUUCACGCAAGUCGAGGAAUUAAUAUACACCGCCGAUGCUACGAGCUCAGCCUCGUUUAUGAGUCAGAAGUCUAUAUGAAUCACGCGCGAGUUAGAUCUUAGGUCUUACUUCUGAUUCAGGAAGCCUAUGUAAAUCUUCUCCGAAGACGAUUAUUCAACCAUGAGAGAACGGAACUCGAGGCUUGCCUUAUGAGACUUUGACUAAACUGCUCCCCUCCUUCGAAUCGGGAUACAACUAGACAUGCAGACAUGACUAGAAAAAAAAUGCAAAUAGGAAGGAUACAAAAACAUCACGAAUUAGGGAUUAUCCUUUGAACUAUUACCUAUUUUGAACGUGCAAGCGAUGUUCACGCUUGCAGAUGCGGAUAACGAAGGCGUUAAAGGUUCUCUCGGCUUUAUACGAAGACACGUCAUACAUAAUCAUCCUGUCAUCUUCAUUUAUUUCUCCCUGGUCUGCCUGAAUGAAUAAAGGGUAAAAUACAAAGUUUGAAAAAAAAAAAUAGAGAACGCGACAAAGAGAUACGACUUUCUGUUGCAAAAAAGAAACCAAGUGUGUUAGGUUUUGCUUGAAGUAACACGCGGCGUCUACGUCGAUCUUGUCCGUUCUUCGACUGGCAAAGGAACGCUUUCAAGACUGCCCAGAA